rnacentral:sRNA from 1 species
CUUUUGGGUUCCAAGCCAAAAAAGUAUCGAAAAGUGUUUUCAAGGGGUUUGUUUUCACGCGGCUUGAUAAAGGGCGCAAAAGCUUCAAAAAAUAUUUGC